UGCCUCCACGAGCCUGCUGUUUCCAGGAA
rnacentral:piRNA from 1 species